rnacentral:rRNA from 1 species
UACGUAGGGGGCAAGCGUUGUCCGGAAUCAUUGGGCGUAAAGAGCGCGUAGGCGGCCAGAUAAGUCCGGUGUGAAAGUCAUAGGCUCAACCUGUGAAUGCCGCUGGAAACUGUCUGGCUAGAGUCCGGUAGGGGCGAGUGGAAUUCCUGGUGUAGCGGUGAAAUGCGCAGAUAUCAGGAGGAACACCAAUGGCGAAGGCAGCUCGCUGGAACGGUACUGACGCUGAGGCGCGAAAGCGUGGGGAGCGAACAGG